GCUCUUUUCCCCACCCUCAGCCUGGCAGGGAGUGGUAGAGGGGAGGGAGGAUGAAAUGUGUCUUUCUUUCUUCAAAGUUGGUAAUGCAAGUGAGAUCAAUUCUUGUCUCCUGCGCAGGGGCCGCCCCACCUCCCUACCUUCCUCUCCCCAUUUCCUGCCCUGGAAAAUUCAGACCAAGGACCCCCUACCUCCACCCAACCCUCCCAACCUUCAACCCCACAAACCCCAGAGAAGGGAAGGAGAGCUUGAAAGUCACUGGCCUGAAGACAGAGCACUAGACCAGGUCCCUUCCGGUUUUAGCAUCACCCUUGGACUCCUCUGCCUUUGUUAUCAGAGGAAACAAAGGAGUUGACAUAGGAGUGAAUUGAAGGAAAGGCUGUGAUAGGCCUAGAAAUGAGGUUGAUAACCUAAACGCUGAAAUGGCCAGGAAGUCAAGGACCCUCCUGCUAUUGAGACAGCAGAGCAUUGUACUGCUCCUCAGCCCCCUCCCUUCCUUCAGACUUCACAGUAGGGGCAGGAAGAGCUGCUGCCUUCGACACAUGUUCUCAGGUGGCACCAGAAGCUUUCCCCACCCUUGACCCAGGGAGAUUGAAUUGUGAUGUCUGCUCUGGCCCAGGGCACCUCUCCUUGCCCUGGCAUUGUUUUCUUACACUAACAGCUGGGCACUGGUGACAGUCCUGGAGAGGUGUGUCUUGUCUCUCGUAGAGCACUUGGCCUAUGGGGGUGCACGCUGCACUUUAUCAUGGAGCACCAUCUUUGAAUACUGACAUUCCCCUUGCUGGUGCCUGAAUUCUAGCUGUUCCUUCUAUGCCCUCCUGCUCUGGGGCUGGGCCAAUUCACAGUAUAAUUAAUUAGAAACUAAGCACAAGCCCGAGAUUACAGAUUUUACAUACAAAUGGAUACUGUCCCUCAAAGAUCAGGUGUUUCAUGACCACAUAUCUUAAUGACAGUGCUGACUUAUAGAAGCUAAUAAACAAAUACAUUGAAAAUUCUGAUAGAAAAAUGAAUUUCAGCCAAGAGUUCCAUGCCCCAAAUUAUUAUUCAAGUGUGAAGAUAAAAAAUAUUUUUUAAGAAUGCAGGAAUUCCAGUGGCUUUUGGGGCAUGUUUUUUCCUGAAGAACGACUAGAGGAUGUGCUCCAGCAAAAUGAGGAGAAAACUAAGAAAAAGAAAAUAAAUAGCCAUAGGUCAGCAGUGGAGGGAGAUCCCAGGCCUGGAAAACAGCCAGAUGAUAUUUGGGCAAGGGGACAGAUGGCCCCAGAAACGAUGUCUCUGGGGGAAAAAAAUGGAACUACUGUUUUUAGAAACAUGGAAAAUAUUUUUGGGGGCACAUGAUAGAGGUAUUCAAAUAUGUGAAAUAAAUUCAUGAUGGGUUUAUUGGGCAGCCAGGCAAAUAAAAAAAAAGAUGGAAGGAAGGAAGAUUAACUUCAGGGAAAAGAAGGGGUUAUAUUAAAGAAAAAACAAAAAGAAGGCUUGUCCAAGCAUUGCUAAUAAAUAACAGCCAAAAUUCAAGGCCAAGGCUGUCUGAUCCCAAGUUGGUAUCUUAGAAUCUUAGAAGAAAGCUCUGCUUCAGAGAAACUUCUUUGCGACCUUAGUAAGCCACUCUCCCUCUCUGGGCCUCAGUAUUCUCACCUAUAUAGUGAUUAGUCUACACAAAAAGUACAAACCAAGCCAGGCAUGGUGGCUCAGACCUGCAAUCCCAGUGCUUUGGGAGGCUGAAGUGAGAGGAUUGCUCAAGGUUAGGAGUUCAAGACCAACCUGGGCAAAAUAAAGAGACCCCUGUCUCCUACCAAAAAAAUAAAAAGGGCCGGGUGUGGUGGCUCACGCCUGUAAUCCCAGCACUUUGGGAGGCUGAGGCGGGCAGAUCACAAGGUCAGGAGAUCGAGACCAUCCUGGCCAACACAGUGAAACCCCGUCUCUACUAAAAACACAAAAAAUUAGCCAGGCGUGGUGGCGGGCGCCUGUAGUCCCAGCUACUUGGGAGGCUGAGGCAGGAGAGUGGCGUGAACCCGGGAGGUGGAGCUUGCAGUGAGCCGAGAUCGCGCCACUGCACUCCAGCCUGGGCGACAGAGCGAAACUCCAUCUCAAAAAAUAAAUAAAUAAAUAAAUAAAAAGAAACUAAAAAGUACAAACAAUAAAUGAAAAGAGAAAAAUUUGAUCAUUAAAGUGAAAAACUUUGAGACAACAAAAGACCAUAAAAAGUAUUUAUUGAGCACUGGGGAUGCCAUGUGCUUUAUGUACAUUAUGUCUCAUUUAACCCACAUGCCUACUCCACAGAGCCUAUUGUUCUCUUUACAGUGGGUACCAGAAUGGAGCAAAGAGAGACUCACUUGGGGAGCAGAAGGUCCAAAAUACGGGGACAGAGAGUGUGAGGUAGAGACCCAGCUGGAGAAAUACACUUUACUUGGGUCUGUUGCACAGUAGGCUGGGAGAUGACAAUGGUGAAAAGGAAAGAGAGUCUCAUUUUCAAAUAAAGGUAGGAAGUCCGUUCUCUACUCCUAGUAUCAAAGAGGACGGGGCAGCUGCCCGUGGCCUCUGCAGGAGGAUGCAGGCUGGAUGGCAGGCAGGCGCUGCAGCCCUCAGGCUCUGGUGGCAGACCAGCCUGGGUUCAGCCUCUUACUCACUGUGUACAGUCUCGUUCCCAGCUUCCUCCUCUCCAUAAUGGGAUUUGUAAUAGUGGCUACCCAUAGGGUUGUUGUGCAAGGUCAUGGAAAUAAUGUAUGUGAAGUGUUUAGAACAGAACCCAGUACACAGGAGAGCCCAGCAUCUGGCAGCCACUAUCAUUAUCAGGUGACGU
rnacentral:lncRNA from 1 species